rnacentral:rRNA from 1 species
UGGGGAAUAUUGCACAAUGGGCGCAAGCCUGAUGCAGCCAUGCCGCGUGUAUGAAGAAGGCCUUCGGGUUGUAAAGUACUUUCAGCGGGGAGGAAGGGAGUAAAGUUAAUACCUUUGCUCAUUGACGUUACCCGCAGAAGAAGCACCGGCUAACUCAGUGCCAGCAGCCGCGGUAAUACGGAGGGUGCAAGCGUUAACCGGAAUUACUGGGCGUAAAGCGCACGCAGGCGGUUUGUUAAGUCAGAUGUGAAAUCCCCGGGCUCAACCUGGGAAAUGCAUCUGAUACUGGCAAGCUUGAGGUUCGUAGAGGGGGGUAGAAUUCCAGGUGUAGCGGUGAAAUGCGUAGAGAUCUGGAGGAAUACCGGUGGCGAAGGCGGCCCCCUGGACGAAGACUGACGCUCAGGUGCGAAAGCGUGGGGAGCAAACAGG